rnacentral:rRNA from 1 species
GACGAACGCUGGCGGCGUGCUUAACACAUGCAAGUCGAACGGAAAGGCCCUGCUGUUGUGGGGUGCUCGAGUGGCGAACGGGUGUGUAACACGUGAGUAACCUGCCCUUGACUUUGGGAUAACUUCAGGAAACUGGGGCUAAUACCGGAUAGGAGCUCCUGCUGCAUGGUGGGGGUGGGAAAGUUUCGGCGGUUGGGGAUGGACUCGCGGCUUAUCAGCUUGUUGGUGGGGUAGUGGCUUACCAAGGCUUUGACGGGUAGCCGGCCUGAGAGGGUGACCGGCCACAUUGGGACUGAGAUACGGCCCAGACUCCUACGGGAGGCAGCAGUGGGGAAUAUUGCACAAUGGGCGGAAGCCUGAUGCAGCAACGCCGCGUGCGGGAUGACGGCCUUCGGGCUGUAAACCGCUUUCGCCUGUGACGAAGCGUGAGUGACGGUAAUGGGUAAAGAAGCACCGGCUAACUACGUG